UUGUUGCAGUUUACCAUGUUUACCCUUGAGCAAAGUUUUCAGUUUGUAUUCAAGCCUCAGUUUUGUAAGAGAUUCGUCGUUUCCCUAACCAACAAAUAAGGUAAGAAUAUUGUCUAUUUCAUCAUGAAUGUGUCGUGUAACUUGUAGUUACGUAGAAAGCAUCACAAGUUAUAAAAAUACACGAGUUUAUUACCCAUUCUGAAGGGCAGAUUGAAAUUUGACCGUUGAAUACGCUGCUACUUUCAUUAACAGAUUAUUUGAAAUUUACUCGAUAUUCCUUUCAAUUUAUUACAGUUAGCGUUCGAGAAUAACAAAAUAUCGCCUCGCUCAUUUGCUGCAAGGCGUUCGUACUCGGCGAGGAAAUGAUUUCAAAAUAUGGGUGUUGUCUCUGAUUCGAUUUCCUUGUGUCGUUUUAAAAAUAUGACACGCAUUUGCUUGAGAAAAAGCUCAUCAAGCUUAGGGUUGAUAAGUGUAGUUUGAGUAAUUUUGCUGGGCUAGAUUAUAGAAUACCCGUCCACUUUUGUGACUAUUUUAUUUUCGUGAUACGAAGUGAAAGUGAAAGUGACAACGUAAUCAUUUUAGUAGAAGCAAUGUACGAAGUGAAAGUAAUGACGUCAUUAUUAUAAGUCGCGUCAUUAGGACUGGGCAAGGAUUUUUCAUUGAACUAUAAAUAAACUGGAAGGCUAACUCAGGGGGGGGGGAAUUGAAGCCAGUGCAUUUUAGUUUUUCUGAGUUAUGAGCAGAAAUACUCAACACUGAACGUUGGGCUAUAUAUCAAAUUGAAGCUAUUGAAAAACGCUAUUUGGUGUAGAAAUUUCAAGACUUCAGCUAAAAGGGAAAUAUUAAAAAACUACAAACAUAAUUACCGAUAAUUUGCCGUUUUGCAGUUGUUUUUGUAUUUUUUAAAUGUUUUUCUUUUCGCUGAAGUCUUGAAAUUUCCACACCGAAUAGCAAUUUUCAAUAGCUUCAAUUUGAUAUAUAGCCCGACGUUUGGGGUCAAGUAUUUCUGCUCAUAACUCAGAAAAACUAUUUUGGCUUCAUCAAAUCAUAGGCCUUCAUCAUAGCAGUUAGCCUUCCAGUUUAUUUAUAGUUCAAUGGGAUUUUUUCAGUGAUACGAUGAUACGAAGGAAAUUGCUAGAUGGUAUACUUCAAAAUAAGGUUUCCAUUUUUAGAUUAAUUUUUUAAAUAAGUUAGGGUUAGAUUUCGGUAGGUGCACACAAACUGCGAGGCAGCGAGGCAGCGAGGCAAUGGCAAGCCCGCGAGGCAUACGAGGCAUGCGACUGAUGUGAGAAAGGCCCUGGACCGGUUUCCCUUGGUUUCAAUGCAUUUCCAACUUACCCAGAAAUUCGUUUAUAAAACCUUAUCGAGUUUGUAUGAACGUAGUUUUUCAAUUGACAGAUGAACAACGCAAAAUAGUUAAUAUUCCAUAAUUUUUAGUGAAGCUAGCUUGUCACUUGUUGAGCUAUUGUCUAAGGUUAAUGUUUACUUGUUGACGUUUUGACUGGAGACUCCAGUUAUUUAAAGACUCUAGUUAUUUAAAACUAUAAUGUAUAGACAGAACUGUUAUUAAAACUAGAAUGUCGUUCACAGUUGUCCGUUUGUCCAGCGUCAAGUGAAGUAUAUAUGUUCAAUAUGUUAAAUAUCGUCAAAUUUUGGAAUCAGUCAUUGUGUCUGCCUCCCACUGGCACAUCUGCCUCGCACUUUUUUCCAUGCCUCGCACUUUUUUUCAUGCCUCGUACUUCUGCCUCGCAUGCCUCGCACUUUUUUUCAUGCCUCGCACUUCUGCCUCGCAUGCCUCGCACUUUUUUUCAUGCCUCGCACUUCUGCCUCGCAUGCCUCGCAUCGUGCCUCGCUGCCCCGCAUCGUGCCUCGCAUGUCUCGCUGCCUCGCACUAUAGUAAAACUCGAUUUCGGUUAUGGUUAGUAUUAGGGUAAGGGUUUAGUUUUGCGUUAGGAUGGUUUUUUUCUACGUUAUAAAAAAGGAAACCUUAUUUUGAAGUAUACUAUCUAGCAAUUACCAUGAUACGAAGUGAAAUUAAAAAACGUAAUUAUUAUAAAUUGGGUCGUUCCAGAAAAUAUCCACACUGCCCCCACAGAGGAAAUUUCUCCCGUCCGGAGGGGGAGGGGAGACAAAACUGUUUCUGAUAAUAGUAAAUAAAAGGACAUCUGAAGGGGUAGGGGGGUUAACUUCCAAUUUCCUCUGUGUGGGUGGUAUGGAUGUUUUCUGGAAUGAUCCAUUCCUGUUAUUUACUGAAACUGGGCAAGCUAUUUUUUUAGUGAUAUGAUGAUACAAAGUUAAAUUAACGCAAAGUAUCACUACUAUAGUGUAUUCCUCAUUCUCAAAAGAACAUGCAAAAUCACUACUAUAGUAUAUUCCUCCUUCUCAAUAAAAACACACAUAAUGUCACUACUAUAUUGUAUUCCUUGUUCUCAAAAAAACAUGCAAAAUAUCACUAUUAUGGUGUUUGUUCGUUCUCAAUAAAAACAAUGAUAAAAACAUGCAAAAUAUCACUACUAUAGUGUAUUCCUUGUUCAUGCGUAUGCAUGACGAAUUUUUCCUUCCAUGUGCUCUGACUAUAAUAUAGCUCAGAUAUUGAACCUUGGUUGAUAUAUUUUAAAUCAUUGAUCUAGAAUAAAUCAUGUUAGUCAAGUCUUCAAGCAAUUAUCAGUAACAAAGAUCAAAUAUACUCAGGAAAAAUUUAUGUAAGUAUGGCUUUUAUUUCAUUCUGCAGAAAUCAAGGCGAUGAAUGCUUUCAUGAGUUUAUCAGUGAUUUUAGUGUUACUACAGGAGGAAACCUAAACUAAACUAACUUUAUUUAUAUUAAGGUGGUAUUGAAGAAAAUCUUCAAGAAAUAUUAGAUGAAGAUGAGGAUGAUGAUAGAUAGUGAAGGAUAUAUUCUAAGAUGUAUAUAUAAGCUAAGCCUUGAGAUAUAAUCUAACAUGCCGUGGUUUGUGUCAGAACUACGUGAAGAAGAGUUUAUUAGAGAGGCUCGUAUCAUUUCGACUGAACUUCAGAUUUCAUUUUCUCUUUGCCGUACCAUCUGAAAUCUCUUCAUUUUACAGAUAAAGCACUAAACAUACUUUUUAAGUUGUGGAAAAGUUCAUUUGUUAGUUUUGAGGGCGUGGUACGUACCAUACAAUAACCUUGUCAGUUGUGACAAAUGGUCCUUCGCAAAAAAAACUCUGGAUAUGUAUUUUAAUCGGUUUGCAUGUAAUUCAGACACCAUCCACAGUACAGCGUAUGAAACAUAUAUGACAUAGCAGGCUGCCUUAGAUAAUACAAAAGUGUUGUAAUAUUUUAGCAAUAAUAAAUUUUAUGUACUGUUU